GGCCGCGGCGCGCGACUCGGUAAGUGGCUUCCGACAUGCUCGACGCUGCAGCGGGCCACGUGGCCUGAGGUCUCUCCGGUGGCACUUACUUAGCUCAGCCCUCCUUGUCCCCGUGCCCGCCGCGUCCAGGCGGCCGGGACCCGGGUUCGACGUCAGCUCGGCGCCCCCUCGGGAGAGGCCGUCCCAGCCCCGGGGAAGGAGCACCCGGGAAGCCCUGUGAGGGACGUCCUCGGGGUGCCAGGGGCCCUUCCCGGGAAGCACCCUCGUGGCCCGGGUUCCCGGAACCUCUCGUGCCUGUGGCUCGGACGCUUAAAGGAUCUCGGCCACAGGGAGCUUCAAGCUCCUUUUUUAGUGUGAAAAGAUAACAUUUCGAGAAUCAAACUGACCAGGGGCGGAGGCGCCCAGGCUGGGACGGUGUCCGGGUUCUUGGCGCCUUGGGGGCUCCGGCCUGUACAGUGGUUCUGCUGACGCGGACACAGGCAGUUUAGGAAGUGCGUGAGACCGUGGAUCUGAAACGCUUUAAGUUUCCGCAGGAUCGGUAUAAUUCCGGAGUUAGCAACAAACGUAGGUAAUUUCGCCCACUCAGCCACUCCUCCGCCACAAAUGCCUUUCACUUGCCACUUUGCACGGUGGGUGGGCUUCCAAGGUCUGCGGGUGAGUCUUGCGGGAGUGGGUAACUGCUGUGAGCUUUAAUGAAGGAGCCUGCAAUUUCUCCCCCAGAUUCACCUUUUCGGGAGUGGCCAGUGCCUUACGCACCACAGGACCCUCAUCCAACAUUUUGUGUUCUUUGCCGGUACACAUUGCUGUACAAAUGGUUAUUCUCCGAAUUUAGUAAAAUUUUUAAAAAUCUAAAGUGAGUGAAUGAAGGAAUCAUUGUAGCUGUCAUAGGUACCACAUAUUGCGGGGUUUACGUGUUCUCAGGUUGUGAAAGACCCUUUUACUGAUUAGGAAACCAAAUAGGCUAUCAAUUUCAUCAUACUUUAUAGAGGAAAAUGUAGUGUUGCAGGCUGUGUUCUAGGCACCCUUUUCCCAGCCAUAUAUAUGGGCCCAAAGCACAUGGACGCUUUUCUCUGGCCCCAAUACCUCCAUCUGAUCAAUAGCACUGCAACACGGAAAUGCCCGCUCUGUUUCACGAUCGCUUUAGGUGUUGGGGAUUCCCGUGGAGCCAAACUAAACAAUUCUAUCCGAGAGAGCCAGGCAGCUGACAGGGAAGCAGCUUGAGCCAGGAUCUAUUUGAGGAUUAUGGAAACUGAGCAAGUGCUGAGGACAGUUCUCAACUUCUGGGCUCGGCCUCUGGGUAAACAAGUUUCAGGCUUCCUUUGGUUUUUAACUGUUAAAGGUUUGUUUCAGUUCUUCCUAGGUAAAUAAUGUUGCCAGAGUUUUGUUUUCUCUAACAUUGAUGCUAUUCCAUGUUUAAUGUAACAAAGAAACAAAGUUGGAAAGAUUGUGACUGCUGACAUUCUAGUAAAUGGAUUCCCAGAAUGUAGAAAUUUAAUUCACUAUACAUUUUACUCCUGGCUGGAAAUUACAGGUGAUUUCCCAGUGUCAGGAAAUUUGGAGAAUGUAGCUUUUUUACAGGAAUUCUAUUCAAAGGUAGCUUUUUAUGCAUUCAUCAAAGGUAGCUAGUAGAUAGGCACAAUAAAAACCACUCCUUACACACAAAAAAAAGCAACAUAAAAAAUCACAUAAUAUCCUUAACAUUGUUCUUUUCCCUUAUCUGCCAGGUUCAGUGCAGUUACAAGAUGCUGAUGAAAUUAAGGGCUGGUGCUUGAGAGGCAGAAUUGUGGUGCUCGAAAGAAGCUUUUCAAGUAAAGUAUUUGAACAUGUGGCGAUUGGUAUAUACAGAAUAGAGGGGGUUUUUUGUUCCUUUCAUGGCUGUAGUGGGGGUGAAUGUUGAGAAGGGACGUGGCAAGUGUCUGUAGGAAUAUACAUCUGCCCCAUAGAGAAUUUCCAGAGAAUUCAAUUCCAUUAUUUAAAGUAGUUUUUCUAUCAACCAACCCGAGCGUGGAGUGUGACACAAUAACCAGACUAGCUCUUCUGCAACUAUCUUAAGACAACUUUGUCAACUGUGAAUUAAUUUACAAAGGUUAUUUUUAAAUCCUAUUCUUUUGACUAUUCUAAAGAUUAUAUGUUCUUUCGUGGUGUACAUACUUAAAUAUUACUGUUGAGGCAUAUAUAAGGCAAUGUUGGCUUAAUUCUGCUUGAGAUCUCAGCACUGGGCAGAAUAUCCUGCAUAUGUGUAGUAAAACGUGAAGCUGCCUUCAUUUUGUUGGUAUACUAAAGAAAACUUUUUCAACGUGUUUUUUUGAAAACUUAGCUCUAUAUGCUUAUAAAUUUUUCCAUAGUAGAUCAUUUAAGUCAUUAAAUCUGACCCUUUGACAGAAAACAAAUCAAUGGGUUCCUAGGGAUCAGGGAGGGAUUGGUUGCAAAGGAGCAUAAGGGAGUUUGGGGGUAAAUGUUUACAUCUAGGUUAUAGUGGUGAUUGCACUUGUCAAAUUUAGGGGUGAACUUUACUGAGUGUAAAUUAUAUUUUAAUAAACAUGACUUUAAAAACUUAACCCUUUCUGGCAUCUUAAUGACAUUUCCAGUGAAUCUAUGGGAAGACAGUCUUGGGUCAGCACUUAAGUGAUUUGCUGAGAUGUUAAAAGUGGCGAAAACAAAAAUCCCUUUGGGGUGUAAGUCACAUAAGUGACUCGUGCACACAAUAAAUAACUGAAAAAUGGGACCAAAGGGUAUGUGUUGCCUCACCCAUCAUGGAUAUAAAAUUUCUCUUUAUGGAUAUUUCAGGUAACAAUGUAUUCCUCGUUGUCUUCUCAACAGCUGCAUUUUAAAUCUCCUCUGUGGUAAUAGGUCUGAACACAGCUGGUUGACCAUGGGUACUUUUGAUGAGCUGGGUUGUGCCUUCUUGCCUGUAGGAGCAAAUAAUGUCCUUCAAAUAUCCCCUUGUGGUUCCAGGUUUGAUACAUUCCCUGCUUCAUCUCCC
rnacentral:lncRNA from 1 species